GACGAACGCUGGCGGUGUGCUUAACACAUGCAAGUCGAACGGUAAGGCCCUUUCGGGGGUACACGAGUGGCGAACGGGUGAGUAACACGUGAGUAACCUGCCCUCAUCUCUGGGAUAACAGUCGGAUACGGUUGCUAAUACUGUAUAUGAGCUUGCAAGGCAUCUUGUGGGUUGGAAAGAUUUUUUUUGGUUGGGGGUGGACUCGCGGCCUAUCAGCUUGUUGGUGAGGUAGUGGCUCACCAAGGCUUCGACGGGUAGCCGGUCGGAGAGGGCGACCGGCCACAUUGGGCCUGGGAAACGGGCCAAACUCCUAAGGGAGGCAGCAGGGGGGAAUAUUGAACAAUGGACGGAAGUCUGAUGCAGCAACGCCCCGUGCGGGAUGACGGCCUUAGGGUUGUAAACCGCUUUCAAUUGUGACGAAGCAUUUUUGUGACGGUAGCAGUAGAAGAAGCACCGGCUAACUACGUG
rnacentral:rRNA from 1 species